GUUGGGAUAGCUCAGUUGGUAGAGCAGAGGACUGAA
rnacentral:tRNA from 4 species